rnacentral:rRNA from 1 species
UCACCUCGGUGAGGGCUCCAGCUUGUCUGAAUUAUUCACCCAUGUCUUUUGCGCACUUCUUGUUUCCUGGGCGGGUUCGCCCGCCACCAGGACCAAACCAUAAACCUUUUUGUAAUUGCAAUCAGCGUCAGUAAACAAUGUAAUUAUUACAACUUUCAACAACGGAUCUCUUGGUUCUGGCAUCGAUGAAGAACGCAGCGAAAUGCGAUACGUAGUGUGAAUUGCAGAAUUCAGUGAAUCAUCGAAUCUUUGAACGCACAUUGCGCCCUUUGGUAUUCCAAAGGGCAUGCCUGUUCGAGCGUCAUUUGUACCCUCAAGCUUUGCUUGGUGUUGGGCGUCUUUGUCUCUCACGAGACUCGCCUUAAAAUGAUUGGCAGCCGACCUACUGGUUUCGGAGCGCAGCACAAUUCUUGCACUUUGAAUCAGCCUUGGUUGAGCAUCCAUCAAGACCACAUUUUUUUCAACUUUUGACCUCGGAUCAGGUAGGGAUACCCGCUGAACUUAAGCAUAUCAAUAAGCGGAGGA